AAGAGAGGCUCCUCCUUCAUGACAGUCUCCAAUUUCUACAGGGAGCAGCUGAACAAGCUGAUGACCACCCUCCAUAGCCGCACCCCAUUUUGUCCGCUGUAUUAUCCCCAAUGAGUUUAAGCAAUCGGGUGUGAUAGACGCCCACCUGAUCAUGCACCAGCUAGCUUGCAAUGGUGUCCUGGAAGGCAUCCGUAUCUGCAGGAAGGGCUUCCCAAACAGGCUGCAGUACCCGGAGUUCAAACAGAGGUACCAAGUGCUGAACCCCAACGUGAUUCCCCAGGGGUUCGUGGACAACAAAAAGGCCUCAGAGCUGCUGCUUGCAGCCAUUGACCUAGAUGUGAAUGAAUACAAAAUUGGACACACCAAGGUGUUCUUCCGUGCGGGCAUCCUGGCCAGGCUUGAGGACAUGAGGGACGAGCGUCUGGCCAAGAUCAUGACGAUGCUGCAGUGUCGGCUUCGG
ensembl:lncRNA novel transcript